UUCUAUCAAUCCAAUUCUUAUUCCCAUUUCCUGACCUCCUCCUCCGAAACCUCCCGUUCGUGAAAACCAUCUACCAAAUCCCUCCUCUGCGCCACCCGCACCUAGCCUCCUCCACUCCUCCCUGCCCGUCUAGCUUUCUCCUCCGUUCCUCCACAUCGCCUGCGACCUAACUUCCUUCACACAAAGGGGUCUUGCCGUUGCAAGAGAUUUCGUCGUUCCUCGCCGCGAAGCUGUCUUCGCACAAAGGGGUCUCGCCGUUCCUCGUAGAUGCACCGUUCCUCCUUGCGACGCCGUCCUUCGCACAAAGGGGUUCGCCGAGCUAACUGCCAUCUGUUAUCUCCAUCGCCCGCAACCCUCUCGUGGCCAUCGUCGACGUCAGGGACUAGGAGAGGAGUUACGACGCCCACAUCGCAGGGUCACUUCGCUAUGCUAGCGGCACCUUCUCGGAGAGGAUGUCGGAUCUCCUCCACGCUGUCAAGGGCAAGGACACCCUACUCUUUCAUUGCACCCUCGCCCAGACACCUCGUCUUAUGCUCCUCAUGACCUGUGGCUAUGGAAAUGCCCACUAAUUUUAGUGCUUCUAAUCAGGACAUGCAACAGGUAUUUUGGUCUUAGAUUCCUUGCAUUUGUAAUCUUUGUGUCUAGUAUUUCUUGAUAUUCUAGUCUGACCAUUUGACAUGUCUUUUUACUAAAUGAUUAAUUGUUUAGCAGACUUAAUUUAUUGGUUGAAUUUAAAAUAAUGAGAGUUGAUGGAAAUUGAUCAUGCUUAUAAAAUUUAUGACUUUUAAAGCACGUUAUGCAUUCUAUAUUGUGUAUUAAGAUGCAUUUUUAGGUUUAUAUCGUUGUACUAGUUAAGCUUAUUGAUUAACUUUUUUGGUGUUAUUUGGUAUUAACAUAAAUUGAUUAUGUUGGCAAAGGCUUUGGAAGUUAUUGCCAAGGCCCUGGGUUCAACAUCCUCUUCACCGUAAUGGGGGCUUGCUUUCAUUUAUAUUAUCAUUAAAAGGUCCAUUUUUAAUGAUCUAUACAUCUAUACUUUUAAAACAUAGAAGCUUAUGCAUCAAAAAUUUCUGGAACAUAACUAAAUAAACAAAAAUGCUUGGUCUACUUGUGAGAUCAUGAUACAUGAGUUAUUUUAGCUAAUAGUUCACUGAGGAAGCCACAUGUGUUGAGAGACGAUGCUUAUCACAAGGGUUGGAGAUUAGAGUGAUAAGUCAUUGAAUGUUGUGACUGACUGACUGCUGGUGAAUGCUUAUUAUACUGGUGACAAUGGGAAGAACAGAUGCAAUCAGAAUUUAUUUAGCAUAGUGGAUUCUGGAUCCAAUAUCAAUGUUCUAUAGUUGUUGUUUACUGGAAUGUUACCAUUAGCAAUAGGACAAAGAUGAAGCCGUCAAGAGGCUGACAUUGUCCUGGGUUUUACUAUUAAGCACAACCUUAGGUUGUCAAUGAUGGAGCUUUGGCAACAAGAAGUAAAUAUCAUGGCCAAUUUCUCUUCAGGUGAUGUUGUGUCAGGAUAGUCUUGCAAUUGCAUUCAUGUCAAACUGGUAAGGCUUCUUCCCUACAGCAUGUUCAGCAUAUUCUUUGAAAAACAUUGUGCUUUGAUUUCUCAUGAAAGUGAAAGUUAUUACUGUCUAUAUUGUUGUGCUUAGCAAAUGUCAAGCUUAUUUGAACCUUUUGUUGUUAGCCUGGAGAAGAUUAAAAGAACUGAUAACAUUUUGGUAGUAAAUUGAUUGUGUUCUGUGUAGCUUUGUUGAUGCAUGUAAGAUUAGAGAUGAAUAUGCCAUAGUAGUGAAAUGGAAUAUCCAUCUGACAAAAGAUUUGUGCAAUCUACAUGAGAAUCAGCCAGGACCAUUCCCUGAAAAACUAUUGAUACGACCUUGAACUAUCAAUAUUACAAGUACUAAAAUAAAGUUGAUUUGAACUAGAGGUACUACAUUCUUUUUGUAAAUUAAUAGAAUUCACUAGUUAGAUGGAUUGGAUCAAGAUUUGUAAAUUAAUUGUGUAAAUUAAUAGAAUGGAAAGAACAUAAAUCAAACAAAAGAAAACAAAGAAUAAAACCAUUGUCCUUGUUAGGAGGUCAUGGAUUCGAUAGCCUGAUGGCUCAUCAGUUUGCCUUUGGAUGAAUAAUAGUAGUAGAUUUUGCAAGAGAAUUUAAGUAGUAUUUGAAUACGAAAUGGAUUUACUUAUAAUUAUAUGCUCUUGUAGUUGAUUUUGUUGUCUAAGGAGAUGAACACAUAAAAUAUCUGUGAAUUAAGUAACUUUCUCAAGAUUUGAUCUUAUCUAAUGUGUUGUUUUGUAUUUGCUUUUUAAUACAACAGUAUUUGGAUGAGAAUAAACAGUUGAUUCUAGCUAUUUAGACAAGCAAAAUGCUGGGAAAGCUGAAAAAUGCGCCGAGUAAGUCCAAUUUUCACAGAUAAUAGACAGACGAGAUUAUUGUGAAAUUUAAAAUGAAACAUGUUGAAGGUUUAUCGUAAAAACUUGUGUUAAAUACAGAAGAAACAAAAUCUUACGAUAGAAAAAUAUACACAUGAUGUUGCUAGAUUUCUUAUGUCCUUAAAAACUUGUUUACAUAUACAUGGAAAUAGAUCUUAUGUUAGCAUGCAUGGAACUAUAUAAGGGGAUUCUUUUCAUUUCCAAUUGCAGGAACCAGGCUAGAUAUUUCCAGUUCAGAUCCUUUGUUCUCAAAUUUUUCUGUCCCCGUGCUCUCUGCCGAUCGGACGGACUAGAUUACAUCUCAAAGCAUCAUGACAUCUUUAAGAUGUGCACAGUAUCCUCGUGAUGUGCAAGACAUCCUUGAGAUGUAAUCUGAUCUGUCCGAUCGACAAGGGGACACGAGGACAGAAAAAUUUGAAGACAAGGGAUCCGAACUCAGAUAUUUCAGAGGAAUCUCAUGAACCUUGCGCCCAUUGCAGAGAUAGUCAACAAGUUUCAACCAUGACUCAACUAUGCAUGAUCAUUGUGAUCAAUUAAUUGAGAAUUCUCCUUUCCAAAAGUGAUUUUUAGUAGAGGGUAGAAUCUUGAAAAUCUUGAUAAGAAUAAGACAGUCUUGUGCAAUGUUUUUUUUUAUAUUGAAAAUAAGUGUGCUUGUUUACUUGUUUUA